AGCCCGGAGAUGGGUACUGAGACAAGGACCCAGGCCCUAUGGGGCGCAGCAGGCGAGAAAACUUUGCAAUGUGCGAAAGCCCGACAAGGUUAAUCUGAGUGGUUCCUGCUAAAGGAACCUUUUGUUAGUCCUAAAAACACUGAUGAAUAAGGGGUGGGCAAGUUCUGGUGUCAGCCGCCGCGGUAAAACCAGCACCUCAAGUGGUCAGGAUGAUUAUUGGGCCUAAAGCAUCCGUAGCCUGUUCUGUAAGUUUUCGGUUAAAUCCAUAAGCUCAACUUAUGGGCUGCCGAAAAUACUGCAGAACUAGGGAGUGGGAGAGGUAGACGGUACUCGGUAGGAAGGGGUAAAAUCCUUUGAUCUAUUGAUGACCACCUGUGGCGAAGGCGGUCUACCAGAACACGUUCGACGGUGAGGGAUGAAAGCUGGGGGAGCAAACCGGAUUAGAUACCCGGGUAGUCCCAGCUGUAAACGAUGCAGACUCGAUGAUGCAUUGGCAUAUAGCCAGUGCAGUGUCGCAGGGAAGCCGUUAAGUCUGCCGCCUGGGAAGUACGUACGCAAGUAUGAAACUUAAAGGAAUUGGCGGGGGAGCACCACAAGGGGUGAAGCCUGCGGUUCAAUUGGAGUCAACGCCAGAAAUCUUACCCGGAGAGACAGCAGAAUGAAGGUCAAGCUGAAGACUUUACCAGACAAGCUGAGAGGUGGUGCAUGGCCGUCGCCAGCUCGUGCCGUGAGAUGUCCUGUUAAGUCAGGUAACGAGCGAGAUCCCUGCCUCUAGUUGCCACCAUUACUCUCAGGAGUAGUGGGGCGAAUUAGGGGGACCGCCGCAGUUAAUGCGGAGGAAGGAAGGGGCCACGGCAGGUCAGUAUGCCCCGAAACUCUGGGGCCACACGCGGGCUGCAAUGGUAACGACAAUGAGUUCCAAAAUCGAAAGAUAGAGGUAAUCCCUAAACGUUACCACAGUUAUGAUUGAGGGCUGCAACUCGCCCUCAUGAAUAUGGAAUCCCUAGUAACCGCGUGUCAUUAUCGCGCAGUGAAUACGUCCCUGCUCCUUGCACACACCGCCCGUCGUUUCAUUGAAGUUUGCCUUUAGCGAGGUGAUGUCUAAUUGGCAUUAUCGAACUUGGGGUAAGUGACAAGGGAAAAGUCGUAACAAGGUGACCGUAGGGGAACCUGCGGUCG
rnacentral:rRNA from 1 species